GAGAGAAGGCAGGGCUGAAAUACGGCGUGGCCAUGGCGCAGGCUCCUUCCCAAAGCUUGGCACAGCAGGGUGGUUGAAUUUCCCAUGGGUCAAAAGAAUGCUGAGGAAGGUACUGGGCCUGGGCUGACUUGCUGCGCCCCCCCUCUGCCGCCUGAAAAAAGCCACCCUCUGGAUGAGGGUCUCCAGCAACAAGGGUUUGUGAGUUUCUUUAGGUAUGAAGAUCAUUCAGCUAUUCAUUCACCAAGCACUUGUUGAUCAUAGCCAAGAACCACAUAUUGUGCUAAACUUGGGAGAAUCAAAGAGGAACAAUAUGAUAUUCCUGUCUUCGAAGACUUUGUGAUUUAGUUGGAGAGAUGUAUGUACAAGAAAAUCAUUUAUGGCCGGGUGCGGUGGCUCAAGCCUGUAAUCCCAGCACUUGGGAGGCCGAGAAGGGCGGAUCACGAGGUCAGGAGAUCGAGACCAUCCUGGCUAACACGGUUGAAAAAGUCCAAGAUUUGCAGUCUGCAAGUUAGAGACCCAGGAGAGCCAAUGUCCAGUUGCAGUCUGAGUCCAAAGGCCUGAGAACCAUAAGAGCUGAUGGUAUAAGUUCCAGUCCAAAAGCCAGCAGGCUUUACCCAAGAAGAGCUGAUGUUUCGGUACAAGACUGAAGGUGACUGAGGCCAAACCAGUAUGGGAGCUCCUUUGAAAAACCCAGCGAGGGCCAGGAAGGCCAGACAAGUGGACUUUCAUUGCAGGGUGCCUUCAGUGCUGCUGUCAGAGGAGCAUCCUUCUGUGAGCCUUGGUUUUCCUUCUGCAAACUGGCUAAGAGCUGCAGAGCACUCGACACCCAGAACCACAGUGUGCCUUCACAAUGAACAGAAAGCUGCAGUUUCCUCCUCUGUAUUCUUUGUCCACUCCCACUCGCUUCAUAUGCCCCACUGACCCAGGUAUGAGAAACCCGGCCUCCCAAAGUGUUGGGAUUAUAGGCAGGAGCCACUGUGCCUGAGCUCACUGUGGUUUUGAUUUGCAUUUCUCUAAUGUCAGUGAUGUUGAGUUGUUUUCAUAUGUUUGUUGGCUACAUGAAUGUCUUCUUUUGAGAAGUGUCUGUUCAUAUCCUUUGCUCACUUUUUAAUGGGGUGGUUUUCUUCUUGUAAAUUUGUUGGAGUUCCUUGUAGACUCUGGAUAUGAGACCUUUGUCAGAUCACUGAGAGUUUCUGAGCAAUGUGGUGGUGGGUUGUAUGUAGAUGAAUUUGAAGCGGAAGAGACCUGUGACAGAGAGACCAGAUUAGAGCUACUGCAGUGAUUAGGUGGUGGAGGCCUGUAAACAGGUGUAUGUGGCACUUUAUGUACAGGUACACUGUGGAUACAGAAUUGAUGGGACUUAGCAACUGCUUGGGUACAAAAGGGACAAGGACAAAAGAGAAGGAGUUGUUAAACAACAAUGCCUUGGGUUAACCUGGGGUGAGCAUGUGGAUGGUGUCAUUUGUAGAGCCAGAGAAAGAGUAGACGAGGAAGAGAAAAGGGGAACAGGAGUGGGAGGAGGAGGAGAAUAGAAUGGGAAAAUAUGAGAUCUGAGUGGCUGCAUUUUGGAGGAGCUGGUGGAGCUGCCCAGAGGCUGCUGAAAUCUGGAACUAGAGUUCAGAGGAGAGGUUAGGGUGAGGGACAGAGUAGAAUUGGAAAUAGUCCCUAAGUGUGUUGAAUAUAUCCAAUUUAGUUUCUUUCUAAAGGAAAAUCCUUAGUCCUUUUCUAGAAGGCAUUGUAAAAUCAGCCUCUGAAAUUCUGCCCUACUAAACUUGUUUUCUUCUAGGAAGUGACAAAAUUGCAGCCCCUGAAGAGCAGGAGAAUCCUGGACUCUAUGGCUUCCUCCUGCUGUUUGCAACUGCAUUUGAUUCCACUUUUGUGUGUUUUCCCUUUUUCGUGAUUAAUAUUUGCUGGAAAUAUAUUGAUUUUUCAGUCUUUUCAAGAAAACUGCUCUUGGGCGUAUGUCUCAAUUAUACUGCUUUUAUGUUUCCUCAUUUAAUUCUUUAUUGAAGCUUUUAUCUGUUUUUCUCUUUAUUUUUAUUUGCUACCCCUUCCCUUGAAUUUUAAAUUUAUUUGUUGAUCUAUUAAUUGUAUCUUUUGGUAAUAAAAACAUUUCAAGCUA
ensembl:lncRNA